AAAUUUCUGGAGUUGAAAAAUUAGGAGUUAGGCAAAAAAGUGUGAAAGAGUUAAUUUUUUUGAGUUUAUUUUUAAACUUUAACACAAUUUUGUGUUAUGGGAUACCCCUUGCUGUGUUGUAUUCUGGAGUUCAUUCUCUGGUGUUCAGAAACGUGCUUUAACUCCUUACUGGAGUUAAAUUUUUUGAUAAAGUCCGCCAUUACACAACUCUGCCGAGCAGCACAUGAGAACUGGAGUUAUGUUCUUCGUUGUGAGGUAGGUAAAAGUGCAUUGUUAUACAAUUCUAAAAGCUUUUUCUAAAUGUUGGAUGUUUUGUAGCAGAAGUGUGUUUUGGUGUAGCUGUUUCAUUUUGUACUGUGAGGCUAGUGACUGCAUGUGGCUAACUUAGCAUAGCAUGUUAGCUUUUCCAAUGUGGCUGUUUUGUGCAGUUUUUAAAAAAAUGUUGUGGAUGUGAACAAGCUAACACUAGCUAAUAAUCUUUUCUUCCCCUGUGUUUCUAAAAAUGUGUGUUCUGCUGUCAAAAAGAAGUGGUAGGCCUACUUGAUCAGAUGGAGAAACCUGCUGUUCACAUUUCAAAUAGGCUAACUUACACAACGAGGCCACGAUGCUGAUAAAAGUGCAAUUUGGAGGCAAGAAAAAAUAUAUUAAACUGGAAGAAGAUUGUUUCUUGGAUUUUUUUCAGUGCGGUCCAGCACAAGUUUGUGAUACCAGAGGAUACAGCAUCGAAAGUCACAGAUGACCAUGGCAUAGAGGUGGAUGAGGAUGUAUUUCAAGAACUUGCAACAACCAAAGAAACAUGUCAUCCACACUAAUGAUGAUUUGACUGUCCUGCAGCAAGGGGCUGUUGAAGUGCCCUCCUCCCCAAGUCUGACAGAUACAUUGUCUUUGUCAAGCAGUUUGAGCAGCAGUGAUUCUGGAUCUCAAAUUAUUCAACCUUUAAUGGGCAGUGUCCAAAAAAUAAAAUCGAGCAAAUUCUAACUUCAAAGCCAGCAGAGUUGACUGUGAUUAAGGAGUAUGACAAGAUAUUUUUUUGCUGCUUCUGAUUCCUGUGAAGUUAAUUUUAUAUAAUGUAAUGUGUUGAUUGUCUCAUGCAAUUUUACUAGGCCAUUGGUUUUAGUUGGCACUAGCUGCUAACAUAUAUUAAUUGUAAAUGUUUUGCUGUUAGAUUUAAUGCUUUGAUGACAAUUAAUUUCAAAGUGUGUACAUCGAUGGAAAUUCUAAAUCUAAUGUGUGGAUUUGCAUGAAUAAAAGCAGUAAGUAAA